rnacentral:miRNA from 1 species
AUGUAUGUAUGUAUGCAUGCAUGCAUGCAUGUAUGUUUAUAUGUAUGUGCAUAUCUUGUAAGU